rnacentral:rRNA from 1 species
AUUGAACGCUGGCGGCGUGCUUAACACAUGCAAGUCGAUCGGUAACAGGUGUAGCAAUACAUGCUGACGAGAGGCGGACGGGUGAGUAAUGCUUGGGAAUCUGCCUAUUAGUGGGGGACAACCCGGGGAAACUCGGGCUAAUACCGCAUACGCUCUACGGAGGAAAGCCGGGGACCGCAAGGCCUGGCGCUAAUAGAUGAGCCCAAGUCGGAUUAGCUAGUUGGUAGGUAACGGCCUACCAAGGCGACAAUCCGUAGCUGGUCUGAGAGGACGACCAGCCACACCGGAACUGAGACACGGUCCGGACUCCUACGGGAGGCAGCAGUGGGGAAUAUUGGACAAUGGGGGCAA